GACGAACGCUGGCGGCGUGCUUAACACAUGCAAGUCGAACGGAAGGGCCCUGCUUUUGUGGGGUGCUCGUGUGGCGAACGGGUGAGUAACACGCGAGUAACCUGCCCUUGACUGUGGGAUAACUUCAGGAAAAAGGGGCUAAUACCGGAUAGGAGAUCCUGCUCCAUGGGGGGCGUUGGAAAGAUACGGCGGUUGUGGAUGGAAUCGCUGCUUAUGCGCUGGUUGGGGGGGUAGUGGCAGACCAAGGCUAUGACGGGUAGCCGGCCUGGGAGGGUGACCGGCCACCAUGGGACUGAGAUACGCACCAGACUCCUACGGGAGGCAGCAGUCGAGAAUAUUGCACAAUGAGCGGAAGCCUGAUGCGGCAACGCCGCGUGCGGGAUGAUGGCCUUCGGGUUGUAAACCGCUUUCGCCUGUGACGAAGCGUGCGUGACGGUAAUGGGUAAAGAAGCCCCGGCUAACUACGUG
rnacentral:rRNA from 1 species